CAUCGGCCACCUCGCUCCGCCCGCCGCCUGGCCCCGCCCCCGUUAACCCCUGCGCCGCUGCUCGGUGCCCAUAAGGGAGGGGAGGAGAAGGAAGAGGAGGGGAGGGGAAGAAAGGGAAGGGGAGGGGAGGGGAGGGGAGGGAGGGAAGGGAGGACGGGGGAAGAGAGGAAGGCGGCCGAGGGCUGGGCCAGACUAGGUCCCUGGGCCUCGCGCACUUGCCCCUUCUGGAGCCACCUGGUGGUCCCUCCUGACAUGGGCAGGACCAGGCUGGGGCAUGCCAAAGCGGACUCCUGCCAGCUGGGCCCCAAGAGUGGACACCUCUGGCAGAAGAAGGUUCUAGCUCUUAGCAAGUUCUGGGUUAAAGUCCGACCGCCGGGAUCCUCUACUCCUGAUAUUGGAGUGGAUCAGGUUGGGUUUUUUUGUUGGUUGUGUUGUUUUGUUUUGUUUGUAUUGGGAAUCGAACUCAGCGACUUCACGCUUGCCAGGCAGGUGCUGUGUCGCUGAGCUGUGUCCCCAUGGACCGGGCAUUCGGCCCCAGCCCUUUUUGGGUGUGCAGAGAGGAUUUGGGAAGCCUCUAUGAAACAGCCUGAGUGGGGCCUGGAGGGGGCCCCUCUGGGGGAAGGAGCAUUCCUGGGGGCAAGAGGAGUGAAGAAGAGGGAAACAGGAAAGAGGGUAGUCGGGGAGGUGGGCCCAGAAGUCUCGGGGGCCUAGACUUUGUUUUGCAGACCCAGAAGGAGCCCACAGCAGGACGCAGCAGGACAUGAGCUGAAGCAGCACAGAAGCCCGUGGGGACCUGUGUCACCAUCCCAGACAGAGGAGGGCAGACGCUGCACACAGCGGGAGGUGCUAUGACCCCCUGCUUCCAGGGACAGGGGUGCUCUGGGAAGGCCCCUUAGAGCGAAUGCAGGCAAGCCAGAGUCCCAUUGUUUAGGCCUUUGGACUGGUGAUUCAGGGGCCAGCAGCUCACCAUCCCACCCCACAGCCUCCCUCUGCAGCCAGGGGUCUGCUGCCCUAGGUCACCUGAUUCUGUUCAGCCACUUUUCACUGUCGUCACCUAGCACCACGUGUUCUGCUGAAAGAAAGUCCUCUACAGUAACAGGCUCUGUCCUCAACUGUAAAUGCCACUAACCUCAACGCAGUCAGCCCUUGGGCUGUGUUUGCUUUCUGGGUCCCAGUGCUCAUGGCCACAGAGCUUGUUUCAGGUUCGGGAGUUUGUCAAGGGGUUAAUUAGGCUAAGCAGAGGGCCAGUGGGCACAGUGCUAACUUGUCCAUUAUCUAAAAUGUUAGAGAUGAGCUGUCACAUUCACAGAUAUGUGCACCUGCCACACAUGCGUGGGACACUGGGCGCACUCCUGACCCUCCCCCUCUUCCUCUAUGCCCACACAAACAGCACCUGGGCUUGCUGCCUUCUGAGCCAGCCAUGCCAGCCCAGGGGGCCAAGGGAGGAGGUGCUGGCCCAGGCCCAGAGGGAAGAAAGCACUACCCCAGCUCCCUGCACAGGUUGGCUGGCCAUAGUGUGGGGUCACCUUCCUUUGUCCUCAUUCUCAUUCUGCAGAAGAACAAAGCAAUCGUGAUCACACACACAAACCCUGGAAGGCCCCGACUCCCUCAUUCUGUUAAGGGGAAGCCCGACACUCAGUCUGUCCCCUUUCAGAAGUCAGAGUGGGGGGACCAUGGGAGGGAGAGGUGAUUUCAGGCCCCAUUUUAGCAGGAGCACAGGCACUGAGGGUGGAGGAUAAGGGUGUCUGAGGUUUCAGGACAGUGGGAGACACAAAUCUACUCCUCUUGUCUUUUAGAAAAAUGUAGGACCCAUCUCUGGGGUUGUGGGGAGCCACCUACAGCUGCCACAGUCAUGGGGGCAGCAAGCAGUGAGGCCCCUCAGUGGGAGAUUGGAGGGGAGCCGGAAGCAGGCAGUGAAUUUGCAUCUGUGGCCCUGCUCCCCUCCUCCCAAUGGUGUUUGCACUGGCAGUUUCUCUGCAUCUCAGAAGGUUCCAGAAAGUGAAUCCUGCAUCACAGCUGAAAGUCUCUGCUUCCUGUGUUUAGGAUGUCCUUCAGCAAGCUGGCUCAUUAAUCAUUUAUGUCGUUAGUGUCAUGCCUUGCACACCUGUGGGUCUUGCCUUGUCAGCAGUCUGGUUCCACCAUGCCCCUGCCCUGAAACUCCAGGGAAGUGGGUCAUGAAAAUGCCCAGUUAGGACAAAUUUCAUGCAAGCAACAGGAAUUCCAUUUCAUUUAAAAAUAGAUGGGAAAAGCUUUCAGGCUCAAGCCAUCUUUGCCAAGACUGCAUCGACAGGAUUCCAGUGAGAAAGAGUGGAAAAAUUCAGAUGCACACGACGGCGACUCCAACUGGGGAGAGCGCUCUACCUGGCUUGGGCAGCAGCCUGGCUCCAAACUGGGCGCUGUCCUUUCAGCACCCGGCAAAGUGCCUGCCCCGAAAGCUUGCUCCUUUGGGCAGGCAGAUCUCCAGCCCGUCCUGUGCCCACAUCCCCAGGCAGCACUAAGCAGCCAGAGAAGGGUGGACACAGACGCUACUCAGAGAGGCCCUGGUGGUGGAUCUACGCUGAAGCAGGACCUCCCUGGCCCUACCACUCUCACUUGCAGGUCUGGUUCCUCAUCACAGUCCGAUGCUCUCUCAGCUGUCUUUUCCACUUCUGCAGCUCCCCUCCCUCUACACUGAGCUCAGGGAGGGGCCCAAGGAACCCCUCAGCCUCUAGCCCAGCCCAGCAAACGGGCUUGUCAAGGUUCUGCAGUGAAAUGAACUGUCACUCUGACCUAGGCUAAGUCUGUCUGCAGCUUCCAGCCAGAAAUGUCCUGGGUGACAGACCUGGGAUUUGGAUGACUCCGCCUGCUGGGGGAGACCCUGGGAUGCAGCAGUGGAGCUCAGAACGACGGAGACUGGCUCCUGCGAACAGAAUGGCCGGCCGCCUGCCCACACACAGGCUGUCGGCAUCUGCACCCUGGCUGCUCGCCCACUGCCAGUCCAGGCUUGCUUGAGUGCCUCUCUUGGCCAGAUGUCCAGCAGACUUUGAACAGAGUGUCCAGCCUGGGGCUGCAGAGCCCACAGGCUAUCAGGGUUCCUGCCCCCACCUAGCCCCUUGCUCCAACAAGGUCACCAAAUGCCACACUGCAGGGAUGGGCGGAAUGGCUGGGUUCUCUAAGCAGCAGAUCAAGGACUCACUGGCAGGACAGGUGCUAGAUAGAACCUUUGCUGCUACCAGUGGCUCAGGCCAGCAGCUCCACCCAGCUCCACCCAGUACUGGCAAGCUCACCUCCUGCAGCUGCAAGGCUUGGCCCCAGAACAGACUCCAGCGCACUCCCCAAGCUGUGUGACCUUCAGCAGAGCAGGCGACUGCUCACGGCCUGUGCUGUGCUCGGUGUUUGUGCCCCAGACUCAUUGUUGCAGUCCCAACUCAAAGUGACGGUGCAGGAAGCAGGGGCACUGGGGCUGGGCAGGUCAUGAGAGUGGACCCCAUGCUGGGUCUAUGCCCUGUUUGGAGAAGUGCAGGGCUUGGGCUCCCUCUCUUGGCCCCUGCCACACAAGGCCACAGAAAGGCUCUGCUAGCCUGGAGUCAGGCCCUCAUCAGACUGUGGAUCUAGAAGCAUGUCAAUCUUGGACUUCUCCAGAAUUCUGAGAAAUAAAUUUCUCUUUUAAAGUUUU